CAAAAAACAAAAUCGGGGUAACAAACUAAAACUGAGGGAAACGCAUUAAAUAUAAGAGGAGAACAACGACACAACAUUAAAAUGUAACACACACACACACACACACACACACACACACACACACACACACACACACACACAGAAACGGACUAAGCAUUAGACAAAAUCCUAUUAGAUUAACAAAUAUAACAUCAAAACCAAAU
rnacentral:lncRNA from 1 species